UCAAAAAGUUUUCAUGAAUUUCAUUAAAAGAAUUUUUUUCUGGUUUGUUUGUAAUUAAAAAUUAAACUGAAUUUGGAAACUGAAUGCAUGAAAAUCAAUUAGAAUCGAUUAUUUAGAACAGGAUUAGACAAGAUUAAAUCUUUAGCACUGUAGAUCCAUAAAACCGAACUAGCAUUAAGCAUUUGGUGUUAAGGUCAAAGCAACAGUAUGGUAGAUAUCAUCUGCUGUUCUGCUUGGAUAACUAUGGGCCACUUAAUGGGCGUGGGCCACUUGGUUGCUAUGGGAACGACCCAAAUAAAGUCGCAUAUGUUGACUGCUGACAGCAUUUGAUGAACCUAAUAAAUACGGAGCGAAGUGCCACUCAGCCCAGCUCAGCUGCCAGCCAAAAAUGUUAAAUAAAAUUGAAGUAUCAAACAGAUAUUCGUGGCCCACAGCCGUUGCCGUUGACGUUGGCAGCAAUUCAAAAAUAUCUUUUAUUGAAUCUCGAGCAACGAGUAACUGGAGGAAAUCACGCAUACAUUUCUAUUUGCUGCGGGCAGGCGAUACUCAGUGUGAGUUCUGUUUAUGAUGGUCGUUUCAAUUAUUAUGAAUUUGUUGUGCUGUGUGGCGUUAUGGGACUCUGCUCUGGGUUCUGGCCCCUGUCUGGCACCAGGCAAGCAGCACCCAUGCAUAUCUUUUAUUGAUAGGAUCUGGGCCGGCACAGCGCAAACAAUGCGGAAGUCACCGAAGACAUUCACAAGAAAGUUCAACGAUGAGCACGGGCUGGACUGGCCCUUAAGUGUGUGCGUGUGUGUAUGUGUGAACUUGUUUGUGUAUGUUAAGCAUAUUUGCUCGUAUAUGGAAAAUCAAUAAAUUAAUGUAUUUAAUGCGUA